AGUCACUGACAUUAGAUACCCGUGUAGUCCUAGCCGUAAACGAUACUCGCUAGGUGUCGGCCACGGUGCGACCGUUGUCGGUGCCGUAGGGAAGCCGUGAAGCGAGCCACCUGGGAAGUACGGCCGCAAGGCUGAAACUUAAAGGAAUUGGCGGGGGAGCACCACGACGGGUGGAGCUUGCGGUUUAAUUGGAUUCAACGCCGGAAAUCUUACCGGGACCGACAGCAACAUGAAGGCCAGGCUGAAGACUUUGCCGGAUUAGCUG
rnacentral:rRNA from 1 species